CGGUGGCGUACACGUCGGCUCCGAACUCCAUCAGCAGCUCGAUCAUGUCCUCCACGUCGACUCUCGCUGCGUGGUGCAGAGCUCUCUCGUGGAACUUAACGGAGUUCACGUUGGCGCCUGCAGGAAGUUAAGAUGAGCUCAGGCCUGAACUACAGUGACAUGUCAGUAUCU